CCACCGCCAGCUGCCACCUUCACAAUCUCAGGACAUUGGAUAUGAUCCGAACUUCGUACCCGACUCUGUGAAGUCAUUCGUUGUUCACCUCUACCGUCACAUCCGAGAGAAGAAUGUGUACGAGAUUCACCAGAUGUACGAGAACUCCUUCCAGACCCUCUCGGAGCGUCUCUUCAAGGACACUCCCUGGCCCUCUGUCGACGCCGUCUCUAUCUACGUCGACAAUGACCAUGUCUUCUGCCUCCUAUACCGUGAGAUGUGGUUUCGUCACCUCUACGCUAGGCUCACUCCAACUCUCAAGCAGAGGAUAGAUUCCUGGGACAAUUAUUGUAGCCUUUUUCAGGUUGUGUUGCAUGGUGUUGUCAAUAUGCAGCUACCCAACCAAUGGUUGUGGGACAUGGUGGAUGAGUUUGUGUACCAGUUUCAGAGCUUCUGUCAGUACAGAGCAAAGAUGAAGAAUAAAACCGAACAUGAAAUUGCGAUCUUGAAGCAGUAUGAUCAGGCUUGGAACGUGUAUGGCCUUCUCAACUUCUUGCAAGCCCUUGUUGAGAAGUCUUCGAUCACUCAAAUUCUUGAGCGUGAGAAGGAAGGCCUAGAACAGUUUACGGCUACUGAUGGGUAUAGCUACGACGGAGGAAGUAAUGUCUUGAAGGUUUUGGGGUAUUUCAGCAUGAUUGCUCUACUGCGAGUUCAUUGUCUUUUGGGAGAUUAUCAAACUGGUCUAAAGUGCCUCCUUCCUGUUGAUAUUAGUCAACAAGGAGUUUACACCAGUGUUAUUGGAAGCCACAUUGCCACCAUCUAUCAUUAUGGUUUUGCCAAUCUUAUGUUGCGGAGAUAUGUGGAAGCAAUUUAUGAAUUUAACAAAAUUCUCUUGUACAUCUACAAGACAAAGCAAUAUCAUCAGAAAUCUCCACAGUAUGAGCAAAUACUAAAGAAGAAUGAGCAAAUGUAUGCCUUGCUGGCAAUCUGCCUUUCACUCUGCCCGCAAAACCAGUUGGUUGAUGAAACAGUGAGCUCUCAGUUACGGGAAAAGUACGGUGAAAAAAUGAUUAGAAUGCAAAGAUAUGAUGAUGAGGCAUUUGCUAUCUAUGAUGAGCUCUUCUCAUAUGCUUGUCCCAAGUUCAUUACCCCUUCAGCACCUAGUUUUGAGGAGCCUCUAGUAAAUUACAACCAGGAUGCCUAUAGACUUCAGUUGAAAUUGUUCCUUUAUGAAGUGAAGCAGCAACAAUUGUUAUCAGGUGUCCGGACUUUUUUGAAAGUGUAUUCAUCAAUCUCUCUAGCGAAAUUAGCAAGUUACAUGGAAGUGGAUGAAGCCACUUUAAGGUCAAUUUUGUUGACGUACAAGCAUAAGACGCAUGCCGUUGAUAGUGACAAGAAAAUUGUAUCUAAUGCUGAUAUAGAUUUCUACAUUGAUGACGACUAUAUUCAUGUUGUAGAGCCCAAGUUACCCAAGCGAUAUAGUGAUUAUUUCUUGCGGCAGAUUGUCAAGCUUGAGGGGGUUAUCAAUGAGAUGGACGAUAUAAAACUUGACUAAGUUGCGUUUUGUUCUAUUCCAAUGACUUGUUUUCCUGAUUGAUUCGUUCUCCUUUCUAUUUGCUUUAUAGAUGGUUAGUCUGGAGUUGUUCGUCUUUUUGACAUUUGGUGAAAACUUGGAAGCUUACGGGCUAAUGGCUGUGUGGGUUGCGGUUUAUACCUGAUGCCUGAUAGUCAAAUCCCCCGUACGGGAUUAGAAAAGUUCUCGAGCAAUUGUGCUCACUCCUCAGGUGUUUAAUAUGUUCAGGGCCGAAUGGAUAGGUUUAUACAUAUAUGUCUGGUCAUAGGAAUUGCUCUCUGCUUAGGCACGGCGAGUGGUUAUGUCGUCGCUAACUGUUUCAGCGAUUGCAUGCUUUCGAUAUAUAUUGCGGUGGUCUGUCUUCUUCUUGUACUGGAGAUUGUUGUGGUUAUCGUCAUAUUCAUCUCCACGGACUGGGUACCGGUAGGCUUUCACAAAUUUGUCAUGUUAACCUUCCAUAGCAUAAUCAUGGGCUUGAGGCUUCCGAGCGAAACCCAGCAUACAUACAAGAUUCAGGCUUCAGAAUAUAACUAGUUAAUUUUCAUUUUUUGGGUCACUACUUGCUAAUGAUUUCCUAUCAGAGAGGCUUGAUUGAAUUUCACGUUCUUCUAUGGAACUUUUAUUGUUAUUAAUAAUAACUGAGCAAAGAAGAUAAAGGCAUAUGAAGGCAUAGCUUGGGAAGAGUCUCACAGUAUUCUAAGAAUGGAUAACAUGUUAGCCUGAUGCUCUCCCCAUUGUUGUUAGAUGGACAUAACUAUAACCGGUCUCAUUUAACUAAUGGAUAUGUGCGUUCUUGCAUAUACCUGUUUUGUGGCAGAAAGUAAACGAGUGGAUUAGCGGGAAAUACUCAGAGUUUAGGACUUUUAUCCUCUUCCACUUGUGCAUGAGUCGCAUUAUUCUUCUGGUAUCAUUAAUACCUCAGAUAGCUGCAAUUGCAUUGGCUAUUAGUUUGCUGGCUCUGGGUACUCAAGCCGCGAGGUCUGGCCAUGGCAGCCCUUCUGUAACACCUGAUUUCCUUGACUCCUUUCUGGAUUUGCGCAGCUCACCAGUACACGAGGACUCAACACAUUAACUUUACCUCUCACAUUGAUGUCCAGGUCUGGGGCAGAAAAGAACCAGAAAGAGAAAAGAAAGUGAAGGAAACCAUCAAACCAGAAUAACUUUGUGAUUGUGUCCUGAGUUGUUAAACUACAUGCCAGACCAAAUUGAUCACAGUUGUGCCUGUAUACUCUUGACAUUGAGCAUAAACCGAAUGCGUCCUAAAUUAUCUGUACAAGAAUAUGUUGAGAAAGAUGUCCACGUGGUCUCAUUGCUGUUGGUGAGACAAAUGCAAAUUUUGGUGCCAAAUGUGAUUGGAGUGCUUCCCAUUGGCUUAGAGGCUCACGUGUUGCUCAUGUUUGGUAACAAUUUUUUGAUUCUGCUGCUACUGCAUUGGUUUCCCAACGUUGAAAAUCUGAACAAUACGUAAAGAGAGAUCAUGGCUUAAAAUUUAUGAUUUGAAA